rnacentral:rRNA from 1 species
GAUGAACGCUAGCGGCAGGCUUAAUACAUGCAAGUCGAGGGGCAGCACAGGUAGCAAUACUGGGUGGCGACCGGCAAACGGGUGCGGAACACGUACACAACCUUCCUUUAAGCGGGGAAUAGCCCAGAGAAAUUUGGAUUAAUACCCCAUAGAAUACUGGUGAGGCAUCUCAUUAAUAUUAAAGAUUUAUCACUUGAAGAUGGGUGUGCGUCUGAUUAGGUAGUUGGCGGGGUAACGGCCCACCAAGCCAUCGAUCAGUAACUGGUGUGAGAGCACGACCAGUCACACGGGCACUGAG